rnacentral:rRNA from 1 species
AAAGCGGGUGAAAAGCCCGCUCGCCGGAAGACCAAGGGUUCCUGUCCAACGUUAAUCGGGGCAGGGUGAGUCGACCCCUAAGGCGAGGCCGAAAGGCGUAGUCGAUGGGAAACAGGUUAAUAUUCCUGUACUUGGUGUUACUGCGAAGGGGGGACGGAGAAGGCUAUGUUGGCCGGGCGACGGUUGUCCCGGUUUAAGCGUGUAGGCUGGUUUUCCAGGCAAAUCCGGAAAAUCAAGGCUGAGGCGUGAUGACGAGGCACUACGGUGCUGAAGCAACAAAUGCCCUGCUUCCAGGAAAAGCCUCUAAGCAUCAGGUAACAUCAAAUCGUACCCCAAACCGACAC